CAAAACUCCUUGUCUGCGGAGCAAACACCUACUUACCUUUCAUGAUCCAGUUCAAGCAUGACAAGGCUUUUCUGAUUCCCCUCCCAUAGAUUUAGCUCAGCUCCUCCAUGUCCUCCCUGUAUUUUGUUCACACUCCUCUAACCUGUAACUCCUUAUGGCUCUUAUUGCUUUUUUUUGUUUGUUUGGGAUGAGCACUUUCAUUCAUUUAUUUAUUUGGUUAACACUGUCAGUUAAUACAGUUUAAGUGAGGCAAACCACUCUUCCUGCCUGGGGUGGCAGGGGAGAUGACUGGUCCAUUGGCAAUACCAUGUCCUUGACCAGCGAUUGGUUCAGAAAAGGAUACACAUAAUAACCCUGAUGAGUCAAGUCUGAUAUGUUUGCUGGAACGAUUAGAAACGGGAUGUUCCCCUUUCCAUGGUGUUGCCAGGGUGGUGGAAUGGAAGUCUGGAGUGGUUGGAGCUGAUUUUGCCACCAAAGAACAAAAAUAAAAACCAACAUUAAAAAAAAGCAUAAUUUGUGAUGGAGAGAGACAGAAUUCAGUUGGAUGUUUGAAUAUCUGAAUCUAGAAAUGCCCAAGACAAUGGAACUUUUCAAAGAUAACAGGUACCUGUCAACCUUGAUAGAAGGGCUCCUGGAUGUGUUUCCAGGGAGACUGCCUACCACGGACCUCCGUAUGCAGGCACCAAGAUUCUGGAUGAUAGAUUAGAACUUUUAACCGAAGCAAGCAGACAGAUUUGAAAUGCCAACGUGAACUGUGAGACAGACCUAGAAUGGGUUACGCGACUGCAACCAACGUAGAAAGACUGCACCAGCAGAAAUGGGGAAGGCUCCCACCAGAUUUCUUCAUGAACUCAAUGUGUGCUUCCUGUAGUUGACCCAUAGGUGUGGGGUGGUGGUGGUGGGGUCAAUCUUAAGCAUCAGAAAGAGUGUAAAAUAUCUCAUGUUAAUUUUUAUAUUGGUUACUCAUUUAAAUGACAGUUUUGUAUAUCUUGAGUUAAAUAAAAUGCAUUAUUAAAAUUAAUUUCA
rnacentral:lncRNA from 13 species